GACGGAGGAUGCAAGCGUUAUCCGGAAUGAUUGGGCGUAAAGCGUCCGCAGGUGGCAGUUCAAGUCUGCUGUCAAAGACCGGGGCUUAACUUCGGAAAGGCAGUGGAAACUGAACAGCUAGAGUAUGGUAGGGGUAGAGGGAAUUCCCGGUGUAGCGGUGAAAUGCGUAGAUAUCGGGAAGAACACCAGUGGCGAAGGCGCUCUACUGGGCCGACAACUGACGCUGAGGGACGAAAGCU
rnacentral:rRNA from 1 species